rnacentral:rRNA from 1 species
CGACGGAGGGCGCAAGCGUUGUUCGGAAUCACUGGGCAUAAAGAGUACGUAGGCGGUCUGCUAAGUCAGAUGUGAAAGCCCUGGGCUUAACCCGGGAACUGCAUUUGAUACUGGCAGACUUGAGGACAGCAGGGGUGAGUGGAACUUCAGGUGGAACGGUGAAAUGUGUAGAUAUCUGAAGGAACACCGGUGGCGAAAGCGGCUCACUGGGCUGUCUCUGACGCUGAGGUACGAAAGCUAGGGUAGCGAACGGGAUUAGAAACCCUAGUAGUCC